GUACACUCCUACGGGAGGCAGCAGUGGGGAAUAUUGAACAAUGGGCGCAAGCCUGAUCCAGCCAUGCCGCGUGAGUGAUGAAGGCCCUAGGGUUGUAAAGCUCUUUCACCGGUGAAGAUAAUGACGGUAACCGGAGAAGAAGCCCCGGCUAACUUCGUGCCAGCAGCCGCGGUAAUACGAAGGGGGCUAGCGUUGUUCGGAUUUACUGGGCGUAAAGCGCACGUAGGCGGACUAUUAAGUCAGGGGUGAAAUCCCGGGGCUCAACCCCGGAACUGCCUUUGAUACUGGUAGUCUUGAGUUCGAGAGAGGUGAGUGGAAUUCCGAGUGUAGAGGUGAAAUUCGUAGAUAUUCGGAGGAACACCAGUGGCGAAGGCGGCUCACUGGCUCGAUACUGACGCUGAGGUGCGAAAGCGUGGGGAGCAAACAGGAUUAGAAACCCCAGUAGUCCC
rnacentral:rRNA from 1 species